GUUGGAUCAAUGAUGUUAAUUAAAAACUGCGUUAUCUGUCUGCAGCUUCCUUAUUGGAAUUGAAGAUAUCUGUUAUAACAGUCUGAGAUCCUGA